GAGACAGCAGCAGCCGCGGUAAUACGGAGGGUGCAAGCGUUAAUCGGAAUUACUGGGCGUAAAGCGCACGCAGGCGGUCUGACAAGUCAGAUGUGAAAUCCCCGGGCUUAACCUGGGAACUGCAUUUGAAACUGUCAGGCUGGAGUCUUGUAGAGGGGGGUGGAAUUCCAGGUGUAGCGGUGAAAUGCGUAGAGAUCUGGAGGAAUACCGGUGGCGAAGGCGGCCCCCUGGACAAAGACUGACGCUCAGGUGCGAAAGCGUGGGGAGCAAACAGGAUUAGAUACCCGCGUAGUCCCUGUCUCUUAUAC
rnacentral:rRNA from 1 species